UGGCGUAUAGCUCAGUGGUAGAGCACGUGCUUGCACAAGGUCCUGGGUUCAAUCCCCAGUACUUCCA
rnacentral:tRNA from 1 species